UGGGGAAUUUUGGACAAUGGGCGAAAGCCUGAUCCGGCAAUGCCGCGUGUGUGAAGAAGGCCUUCGGGUUGUAAAGCACUUUUGUCCGGAAAGAAAUCCUUGGCUCUAAUACAGUCGGGGGAUGACGGUACCGGAAGAAUAAGCACCGGCUAACUACGUGCCAGCAGCCGCGGUAAUACGUAGGGUGCAAGCGUUAAUCGGAAUUACUGGGCGUAAAGCGUGCGCAGGCGGUUUGCUAAGACCGAUGUGAAAUCCCCGGGCUCAACCUGGGAACUGCAUUGGUGACUGGCAGGCUAGAGUAUGGCAGAGGGGGGUAGAAUUCCACGUGUAGCAGUGAAAUGCGUAGAGAUGUGGAGGAAUACCGAUGGCGAAGGCAGCCCCCUGGGCCAAUACUGACGCUCAUGCACGAAAGCGUGGGGAGCAAACAGGAUUAGAUACCCUGGUAGUCCACGCCCUAAACGAUGUCAACUAGUUGUUGGGGAUUCAUUUCCUUAGUAACGUAGCUAACGCGUGAAGUUGACCGCCUGGGGAGUACGGUCGCAAGAUUAAAACUCAAAGGAAUUGACGGGGU
rnacentral:rRNA from 1 species